GAUCGCAUACGUGUGGUGGUCUCGAGUUUUUUUGUCAAGGUGCUCCAGUUGCCAUGGCGCUGGGGGAUGAAGUAUUUCUGGGACACCUUGCUGGAUGCUGACCUCGAGAGUGACGCGCUAGGUUGGCAGUACAUUUCCGGGUCCCUCCCUGAUGGCCGCGAGCUUGACCGCAUCGACAACCCUCAGGUACUUGAGCUCUUUCAUUUGAUGAGAUCUUUUGAUGGGUAAAGCAGCAUGAUGAUGAAUUGUAUAAGCUGAAUUUUGCAAUGCUUUCAGUUUGAAGGGUACAAGUUUGACCCACAUGGGGAGUAUGUCCGGCGAUGGCUACCAGAGCUGGCGAGGUUGCCAACGGAAUGGAUACACCACCCCUGGGAUGCACCUGAGUCUGUGCUUCAAGCUGCGGGAGUUGAGCUAGGCUCCAACUAUCCUCGCCCCAUUGUUGAGUUAGAUGCAGCCAAUUCCAGGUUACAGGAUGCCCUGUCAGAAAUGUGGGAGCUUGAGGCGGCCUCUCGGGCUGCGAUGGAAAAU
rnacentral:lncRNA from 1 species